rnacentral:rRNA from 1 species
CCCUUAGAUGUUCUGGGCCGCACGCGCGCUACACUGUUUGAUUCAGCGAGUCUUAACCUUGACCGAAAGGUUUGGGUAAUCUUCUAAAGUCAAACGUGAUGGGGAUCGAUCAUUGCAAUUUUUGAUCGUGAACGAGGAAUUCCUAGUAAAUGCAAGUCAUCAGCUUGCGUUGAUUACGUCCCUGCCCUUUGUACACACCGCCCGUCGCUACUACCGAUUGAAUGGUUUAGUGAGAUCUCCGGAUUGGCUCUGUAGGUCCCGCAAGGGAUUUAUUAGUAGCCAAGAAGCUGCUCAAACUUGAUCAUUUAGAGGAAGUAAAAGUCGUAACA